rnacentral:tRNA from 1 species
AGCAGAGUAGCUCAGUGGAAAGAGCACGGGUUUGGGAAUCAGAGGUCAGGGUUCUAACCCCAGCUCUACCA